rnacentral:lncRNA from 1 species
GGCUGACUCUCUUUUCGGACUCAGCCCGCCUGCACCCAGGUGAAAUAAACAGCCUUGUUGCUCACACAAACGUGCAUGAAAUUUGGUACUGUGACCCGGAUCAGAGUACCUCCCUUGGGAGAUGAAUCCCCUGUCCUCCUGCUCUUUGCUCCAUGAGAAAGAUCCACCUAGGACCUCGGGUCCUCAGACCGACCAGCCCAAGGAACAUCUCACCAAUUUCAAAUCUGAAACGCGCAUGAAACAAACAAACAAAAAAACUCUUUUGGUAGCAGAAUAAAAAAACAAAAAAAGGACUUGUUCUUUUGGACUGAACUGUAUUUAAAUCUCAAAGGAUGGACAUCUCACAACCUUCCUACAGCAAGUACUGUGAGAGCUGCAUCUUGUCCCACUGGAAGGUCUUCAGAGACAAUAACACAUAAUGGAGCCGUCAUCUCCUAUGAUAACAAUGCCUUCUUUUGGAUACCUCCUGAAGGACCUGCCUGAGGCUCUUUCACACCGUGUAAAGGUGUGCUGCUUUCCCUUUGCCUUCCGCCAUUAUUGAAAGUUUCCUGAGGCCUCCCCAGCCAUGCUACCUGUACAGCCUGUGAAACCAUAAGCCAAAAAAGAUACUAGCACCCAUCUGGCAGGGGCCUUUACUAGUUUCAAGCACACUGAGCAGACCUACACCUUGCCUUCUGAGAGAGAAGAGGACAGUCCUCAGCCUCCUGAAGCCUGGCAAGGGUGCCUUAGUGAGGACAUCACCUGCAACUCCCAGAUGGAUAAAUGAGGCCAUGGAGAGAGGAGAACACCAACCCAUGAGUGACAAGUGCCUGCCAUUGUCAAUGAUGCUGCAAGUACCAUGAUGCCCCUUCUUAGCAGGGACCCAGUGGGCCUUAGCAGCUUCGUUAUUUUCUAGGCAUGAUCGCAUCUGUCUCCCAUUUUUGCUAAAAUUCUAUCUAGAGAAAGAGCUCAUUUUUAGCUAAAAAAAAAAAAAUCCUGUUUUAUCUGCUAAAAAAUCACAUAAAAUAACUAUUGGACUGUUUGAAA